GUCCAAUUUGCAAAUAUCAACCAUGUAAUGGAGCAGCAUGACAUUCUGUGGAAUAUCAAGACAGUCAAGACCCUGCUGCAUUAUGAGGGAGAACAGGAACAUUGACAGAGACUUGAGCUGACACCUUGUGUGGAAUUAAAGAAUGCAGAGAAUCAGUAUUAACUCUCGGGAUCCUGGACCUAGUGUAAAUGGAGCUCUCUACGAACUCUUCAGGAGUCCCUCAACUUACCCAUCAAAAUGUUUUACAGAUUGCAUCAUCUUGAGAUGAGCAGCUGCUUCAUCUUUGGUAAGAAGAAUGCAGUUCCAGGGGGACCACUCCAGGGAUUUAUUCCAUCUGACCAUGACCAGAUCACUGAGAUUGUCGCAAGCACUGAGGACUGACUGGGACGCCCAGAUGUUCUCUGUCAGGAGAAAUCUGACUAAUACAACAUGGAAUAUUGAGCCAGCACUUCUUGGUGACUUACAUUAAAGCCCUAGUACAUCUAAGAUUCUCUACAAGGAAAUAUACAUCUGUCAUGUCAAUAAUUCCUGAAUAAAAGUAGCAAAUAAGAAUUUAAGCUGAAAUAAACAUCAAAUUUAUUAACAAAAUAUUCAUUCUAUUGGACAAAAUAUGUAAUCAUUUUAAUUUGUGCUUUUCAAACUGUGGGUUGCUACCUCUUGGGUGAUACCAAAGUUUUCCAAAUGGAAAUC
rnacentral:lncRNA from 1 species